rnacentral:rRNA from 1 species
CUACGUGCCAGCAGCCGCGGUAAUACGUAGGUGGCAAGCGUUGUCCGGAAUUAUUGGGCCGUAAAGCGCGCGCAGGCGGAUCAGUUAGUCUGUCUUAAAAGUUCGGGGCUUAACCCCGUGAUGGGAUGGAAACUGCUGAUCUAGAGUAUCGGAGAGGAAAGUGGAAUUCCUAGUGUAGCGGUGAAAUGCGUAGAUAUUAGGAAGAACACCAGUGGCGAAGGCGACUUUCUGGACGAAAACUGACGCUGAGGCGCGAAAGCCAGGGGAGCGAACGGGAUUAGAUACCCCGGUAGUCCUGGCCGUAAACGAUGGGUACUAGGUGUAGGAGGUAUCGACCCCUUCUGUGCCGGAGUUAACGCAAUAAGUACCCCGCCUGGGGAGUACGACCGCAAGGUUGAAACUCAAAGGAAUUGACGGGGGCCCGCACAAGCGGUGGAGUAUGUGGUUUAAUUCGACGCAACGCGAAGAACCUUACCAGGUCUUGACAU